rnacentral:rRNA from 1 species
UACGUAGGGUGCAAGCGUUGUCCGGAAUCAUUGGGCGUAAAGCGCGCGUAGGUGGCUUUGUAAGUCCGUUGUGAAAGUCAAAGGCUCAACCUUUGAAUGCCGAUGGAUACUGCAGAGCUAGAGUACGGAAGAGGCGAGUGGAAUUCCUGGUGUAGCGGUGAAAUGCGCAGAUAUCAGGAGGAACACCAAUGGCGAAGGCAGCUCGCUGGAACGGUACUGACGCUGAGGCGCGAAAGCGUGGGGAGCGAACAGG